UAUCUGAUUACUUGGUAUAAUGCCGCAUAAGACCCGCCCCAUGACGGCGCUGUUAUUGUUUACUGGAGUCAACGCAGUUUUGGUUUCAACUAUAACUCCAGUCUAUGACUUCGUCUGCUUUCUACCUUACUGGGAGAGAAGGAGAGAGCGUCGUCGUCAGGAACGCGAAGCUGCUCUAGCUAAGAAUUCUGGUGCCGGAUCGACAUAGAAUCAACUAGAUGCCAUGUCUCCCGUACUGGAGAUUCUGUUCUUUUUAUCUUGACCUAUCCAUACAAGACGUUCACAUCAUUACCAGGAGUUCUGAUCGAAAUCACCGAACAUGCUCUCUCUUUACAAGGCACCGGUUGAUUACCAUUUCUUCCUGAUUGAAUGUGCAAUUGCAGCUGUACAUAUAAUUGUUGAAUUCUAUUGACAUUUCACUAUGGUAGGUUCUACUGAUUCGAUCGAACUGAUUCUACCGAUAGUACUAGUGCAGUCGAUUUCUGUUACUCCAUAUGGGAGCUUUUACAGAGCUGUUUUUCAACAAA